UUCCGAUCAUAACUUUCCCAGACUAUUGACGUUUGUGAAGAACUUGCAUAGUAAAAGGUCACAAGAUACACCUAGCACACAAUUACCUAGCAAGCAACUCACCAAAACAUGUAAUUAUGACAAAUAAAACAAAAGACUCUUUUUCUGGGUGGCUGUGAUUUUUAAAUUGGUAUGCAUUACUUGACAAUUAUUUUUGUAAAUCAGCAAGCAAAC